AUUGAACGCUGGCGGAAUGCUUUACACAUGCAAGUCGAGCGGCAGCGCGGCCUUCGGGCUGGCGGCGAGCGGCGAACGGGUGAGUAAUGCAUCGGAACAUGCCCAGUCGUGGGGGAUAACACUUCGAAAGAAGUGCUAAUACCGCAUACGUCCUGAGGGGGAAAGCGGGGGAUCGCAAGACCUCGCGCGAUGGGAGUGGCCGAUGUCAGAUUAGCUAGUUGGUGGGGUAAAGGCCUACCAAGGCGACGAUCUGUAGCUGGUCUGAGAGGAUGAUCAGCCACACUGGGACUGAGACACGGCCCAGACUCCUACGGGAGGCAGCAGUGGGGAAUUUUGGACAAUGGGGGCAACCCUGAUCCAGCCAUUCCGCGUGAGUGAAGAAGGCCUUCGGGUUGUAAAGCUCUUUCGGCAGGAACGAAACGGUGGGCUCUAACAUAGUCCGCUAAUGACGGUACCUGAAGAAGAAGCACCGGCUAACUACGUG
rnacentral:rRNA from 1 species